GACGAACGUUGGCGGCGUGCUUAACACAUGCAAGUCGAACGGAAAGGCCCUGCUUUUGUGGGGUGCUCGAGUGGCGAACGGGUGAGUAACACGUGAGUAACCUGCCCUUGACUUUGGGAUAACUUCAGGAAACUGGGGCUAAUACCGGAUAGGAGCUCCUGCUGCAUGGUGGGGGUUGGAAAGUUUCGGCGGUUGGGGAUGGACUCGCGGCUUAUCAGCUUGUUGGUGGGGUAGUGGCUUACCAAGGCUUUGACGGGUAGCCGGCCUGAGAGGGUGACCGGCCACAUUGGGACUGAGAUACGGCCCAGACUCCUACGGGAGGCAGCAGUGGGGAAUAUUGCACAAUGGGCGGAAGCCUGAUGCAGCAACGCCGCGUGCGGGAUGACGGCCUUCGGGUUGUAAACCGCUUUCGCCUGUGACGAAGCGUGAGUGACGGUAAUGGGUAAAGAAGCACCGGCUAACUACGUGCCAGCAGCCGCGGUGAUACGUAGGGUGCGAGCGUUGUCCGGAUUUAUUGGGCGUAAAGGGCUCGUAGGUGGUUGAUCGCGUCGGAAGUGUAAUCUCGGGGCUUAACCCUGAGCGUGCUUUCGAUACGGGUUGACUUGAGGAAGGUAGGGGAGAAUGGAAUUCCUGGUGGAGCGGUGGAAUGCGCAGAUAUCAGGAGGAACACCAGUGGCGAAGGCGGUUCUCUGGGCCUUUCCUGACGCUGAGGAGCGAAAGCGUGGGGAGCGAACAGGCUUAGAUACCCUGGUAGUCCACGCUGUAAACGGUGGGUACUAGGUGUGGGGUCCAUUCCACGGGUUCCGUGCCGUAGCUAACGCUUUAAGUACCCCGCCUGGGGAGUACGGCCGCAAGGCUAAAACUCAAAGGAAUUGACGGGGCCCCGCACAAGCGGCGGAGCAUGCGGAUUAAUUCGAUGCAACGCGUAGAACCUUACCUGGGUUUGACAUGGAUCGGGAGUGCUCAGAGAUGGGUGUGCCUCUUUUGGGGUCGGUUCACAGGUGGUGCAUGCCUGUCGUCAGCUCGUGUCGUGAGAUGUUGGGUUAAGUCCCGCAACGAGCGCAACCCUUGUUCACUGUUGCCAGCACGUUAUGGUGGGGACUCAGUGGAGACCGCCGGGGUCAACUCGGAGGAAGGUGGGGAUGACGUCAAGUCCUCAUGCCCCUUAUGUCCAGGGCUUCACGCAUGCUACAAUGGCUGGUACAGAGAGUGGCGAGCCUGUGAGGGUGAGCGAAUCUCGGAAAGCCGGUCUCAGUUCGGAUUGGGGUCUGCAACUCGACCUCAUGAAGUCGGAGUCGCUAGUAAUCGCAGAUCAGCAACGCUGCGGUGAAUACGUUCCCGGGGCU
rnacentral:rRNA from 1 species